rnacentral:rRNA from 1 species
UUUUUUUUUGAUUGUUAGUGUAAGAAAUUGUUUUUAGUAUGUAAGAGAAAGAAAGGUUUCCGUAGGUGAACCUGCGGAGGGAUCAUUGCUGGAACGCGCUUCGGCGCACCCAGAAACCCUUUGUGAACUUAUACCUACUGUUGCCUCGGCGCAGGCCGGCCUCUUCACUGAGGCCCCCUGGAAACAGGGAGCAGCCCGCCGGCGGCCAACUAAACUCUUGUUUCUUUAGUGAAUCUCUGAGUAAAAAACAUAAAUGAAUCAAAACUUUCAACAACGGAUCUCUUGGUUCUGGCAUCGAUGAAGAACGCAGCGAAAUGCGAUAAGUAAUGUGAAUUGCAGAAUUCAGUGAAUCAUCGAAUCUUUGAACGCACAUUGCGCCCUCUGGUAUUCCGGAGGGCAUGCCUGUUCGAGCGUCAUUUCAACCCUCAAGCCUGGCUUGGUGAUGGGGCACUGCCUGUAGAAGGGCAGGCCCUGAAAUCUAGUGGCGAGCUCGCCAGGACCCCGAGCGUAGUAGUUAUAUCUCGCUCUGGAAGGCCCUGGCGGUGCCCUGCCGUUAAACCCCCAACUUUGAAAAUUG